UCUGAGCUAAAUCAUCUUUGGCAACUUCAUGAUACAGCCGAAGAGUGUAGUAUAACUUUAAAAGGUAAUCCAUACAGUCCUGAAUGACACGUGUGAAGACUGGGCACACAAAGAGUCACUGUAUGCCCGUCGGUACCGCGACGUCAGCGUCUCCGUCUCUGAGCCGAGCUGGUCGGGGCCAGCAGCAACGUCACUGCCUGACAGCGGCAUCAGAGCAGCGCGGACGGCUUCCAGAGCAGGAGCAGCGCAGCAGCGCCGAGCUUAGCGGAAGAGGACAGCGGCGGGACACGUUGUCUGGACGGCAGCUCGCCUCAGAGCCUAAGUAAAAACCCCACAUCUCAAGAUUCAAGCACACCAAAGAUGAUGAUUACCAGCGUAGCGCCCCUCAGAAGUACUUCACUGGCUGCGGACACAGAGAGCAGAUGUUUGCAUUGAAGGUGCCAAACGAGCGCGCUUGGAGAGGAGGUAGUAACAGGUGCAGCGUGCCAAGGUGAAUUUGGAGGUGUGGAAGAGAGCUGAAAGAUCAUGGGGAAAUCAAACAGCAAGCUCAAGCCAGAAGUGGUGGAGGAGUUG